AAAAUAAAUAAAUAAAAAAAUAAACUAUUCUCAUUGUGUCGUGCAUUUAAUAAAUAAUAGUCUAAAAAGAAAUCCAAAUAUUGAUAAUUACCACAAGGCCAACUCUGCAAAAAAUUUCCCACCGUUGAUAAUGCCACUUCCAACCAUAUUCUCAUGAGAAUUCUCCUUCACUGCCUACGCUAGAUGAAGCAAUAACAUGUCAUGCCCUAAAGCAAGCUUCAAAAUGGUAAAGCAACUGAACAAAAGCAAUAUUUGCUAGGGACAAAGAGUAUUAUAAAAGAUACAAAGCCCCAUAGAUAUAUAUUUAAAGCACCUACAAGUCCAUUUCAAAAAUGCAGUACCCUGCACAACAGAGAACCACAUACAUCCCUCGUCAAUUGGAUGUAGUAGAAUAGAACAUUUUUCAUGGACUUUUGAACCUUGAACAUAAAAUGGUCUUACCAGGUGAUUUAGUAUCUGAGGACUCCUACCUCAAUGAUUACAGGUGAUGAUAAUUCACAACUGCUCUCCCUCCUUGUAAGCAAGCUGGAUGUCCAUCCGAUGAAUGGAGAUGCAUAACAAGAAGAAGAUCAAAGACAUGUGGCAAGAAGCAUCCAGUGGUUCACACUGUCUAUAGUUUAAUAUCUUUUCAGUUUCCUGCCAAAAAUAUAGAUUUAUUUUUAGCAAAGUAGCUGUUGAAAAUUUUGCAAAAUUAUAGUAGUCCACAAAGUGCAAGCUAUGUUGAAUAUUGUAUUUCUAGGGAAAGUAUUUUGGCCAAUAUUUGAAAAUAAAAAUAAGUUUCUUGUUGUGACAUCUACAUGCUCUUCUUCUUGCUCUUCCAUCUUUUGGAUCCAUUUCUCUGAUCUGCACAAUAAAUACAAAUGAACUUGCUGCAAACAUUAAAUUAAUACCAUGUCUUACACAAGGAGAAAGAAGAAUGUCGGCAGACUCAGUACCAGGAAAAAUCCUUACUAGCUAGUUAUGCAACUAAAUCAAACAAUGAAGAAGUUGGAAACUGUCUAACUUUUCAAUUUAUUGGUGAACAGUAAUCCAAAACAAUAACAAAAGAGGAAGAAAAAUAUCUUCCAAAUGAUUGGCUGUCUACAUUUUUGGAAUAAUCUCACAAGUAUAACAUUGUGGAGAUUCAAGUCUAGAAAAUGUGAACUACAAUCUUUGGAAGCCUCCCAUUCAAGUAAAGGUAAAUGUUACAAGUUAAGCAAAACUUAAAAACUUGUACAUAUCCCUUACACACCUGGAAAAGUAUGGAUGAAAAUUUUCUCUCACUCAUUAUUAAAUGAUGCAACUUCUUCUUCUUCUAUGUGGUCAGCUAAUUGUUCCAAGAUUGAAUAUAUUACUUCUUUCAAAGGGUGCAACUGAUCUGAUACGGUAAAAGAGUGCACCUUAUUUUCAAUAUCUAUCCAACUAACGGCUCGCUCCUUCCGUCCACGUCUCUCAUUCAUAAGCUGUCUCACCUUCUCAACCGAUUCCCACCUCCCAUGUGCAGCAUAUAUACUAGAUAGUAACACAUAGGCUGCAGAGGAUUGAGGCUUCAAUUCUAUAAGUUUUUCUGCUGCUUUUCUUCCCAGUUCUACAUUUCCAUGGAUUCUGCAAACACCAACUAGGGCAUUCCAAAUUCGAUCAUUUGGCUUACAUGGCAUUUUCUCAAGUUGAUUCAUCAACAUAUCAAAAUGUCCUGCACGGCCUAGAAGAUCAAUCAAGCAUGCAUAAUGUUCCUGAUUGGGAACAACACCAUGACAAGAAGUCAUGGAAUCAAAUAACCUAAGCCCUUCCUGCACAAGACCUGAAUGACUACAUGCAUUGAGAAUGACAACCAUCGUUAUCCCAUCUGGCUUCAUGCGUAAUCUAACCAUGUCAUCAAACAAUUGAAUAGCCUCUUCACCAUGACCAUGCUGCGCCAAGGCAGAAAUCAUAGUAUUCCACAAGACAACAUCCCGUUUAUUACCCAUAACGUCAAAAACUAACCUCGCAAUUCCCAUGCUUCCGCACUUUGAAUACAUGUCAAUAAGAGAGCUCACCACAAUUGUAUUAGGGCUGAAAUUGGUGCGUAUCAAAUAACCAUGUAUUUGUUUACCAUGAUUAAGUGAAGCUAUACUAGCACAAGCACAAAGACAACUACUAAAAGUAAAUUGAUCAGGGCUAAUAUGAAGCAUCAUCAUCUUUGUAAAAAACUCAAGUGCCUUGUGACCUAAACCAUGCUUAGCAUACCCUGCAAUCAAAGCUGUCCAUGAAACAGGAUUCUUUUUGGGCAUCAAAUCAAAUAAUUCAUUAGCUGCCUCCAUAUCACCCAACUGGGCAUACCCUGAGACCAAUGUUGUCCAAGCAAGAAUAUCCCUCACAUUCAUCUCGUCAAACAGCAACCUGGCAUCACUCAUCUCCCUGCAUUUUGCAUAGGCAUGGACAACUGAACUGGAAAUCACCAAAUUCGAUAAAAAUCCAGCAACCAAAACCUGCCCAUGAGCCUGCCUAGUAAGCUCCAAUUCCUUGAAUUUGACACAAACGUUCAACAGACCUGCAAAACUAUACUCAUUGUACCCUAUCCCCAAAUUCCUAAACUCCCUGUAAAACCUCAGAGCCUCGUUGCAAAACCCACUCUGCGCAUAGGCAAUCACCAUUGUAUUCCAGGACACAACAUCUUUCUCGGGCAUUUUAUCAAACAACUUCCUAGCCGGCUUUGUUUUGCCCAAUUUGGCAUACCCAGAAAGCAUAUUAUUCCAGGAGUACAAAUUCCUCAUAGGCAUCUCAUCAAACACCUUGUAUGCGCCUACAUAAUCACCGCAUUUCAUAUACAUAUUGAUCAGGUUAUUAGCCAAAAACGCAUUGGGUCUUUUAAAUCCGGUUAACUUCAAAUGUAGAUGGAUCCUUUUGCCCAACUUGAGCGAUUUGGAAUUUGCACACCGUUGGAUAAGGUAAGCUAGUGUCUGACAUGGCAAGCGUAUGCCUUUGCGUGACAACAGCUCAAGAGAGGAGAUUGCUUGUGCGAGUUGGCUUUGAGUGGUCAAAUUAAGAAGGGAUUUAACUAUGCAGGGAAGCCUUGUGGAGAGCUGCUUUCUGCGAGAGGAGUGAAAUUUCGAGAAAGUGGAGGGCUUCGGCGAAGAGAGAGAGAGCAUUGGAGAGAAGAACCAUGCGAAGUAAAAUCAAGAGAGUGUUACUCUCGUUCAUCAUUAUUGCGGUGGUGUCUCCGGUGAGAUUAGCAUCGCCGGCUGCGGUACAUGUGAAGGUGGGGCGUGGGGUAUUGCCAUGCUGACUAAUGGCCCUUGCUUAGCAACCAAUAUUUUUUUGCCAUAUCAGUAGUGAUUAGUGGGUCCGAACCUGAUUAGGGCGGUAAAUGAACUAAGCUCUUCCCAAAUCGCUCGAGGUUUGGUUCAUAA
rnacentral:misc_RNA from 1 species